GAGUUUGAUCCUGGAUCAGGAUAAACGCUGGCGGCGCGCAUAAGACAUGCAAGUCGAACGAACUUAAUCGAAAGUUUACUUUUGAAGCGGUUAGUGGCGGACUGGUGAGUAACGCGUAAGUAAUCUGCCUAUCAGAGGGGAAUAACAGUGAGAAAUCAUUGCUAAUACCGCAUAUACUAAUUCUAUCGCAUGAUGAAAUUAGGAAAGGAGCAAUCCGCUGAUAGAUGGGCUUGCGUCUGAUUAGUUAGUUGGUAGGGUAAAGGCCUACCAAGACGAUGAUCAGUAGCCGGACUGAGAGGUUGAACGGCCACAUUGGGACUGAGAUACGGCCCAGACUCCUACGGGAGGCAGCAGUCGGGAAUAUUGCGCAAUGGAGGAAACUCUGACGCAGUGACGCCGCGUAUAGGAAGAAGGUCUUCGGAUUGUAAACUAUUGUCGUUAGGGAAGAGAAAGGACAGUACCUAAGGAGGAAGCUCCGGCUAACUACGUGCCAGCAGCCGCGGUAAUACGUAGGGAGCGAGCGUUAUCCGGAUUUAUUGGGUGUAAAGGGUGCGUAGACGGGAAAAUAAGUUAGUUGUGAAAUCCCUCGGCUUAACUGAGGAACUGCAACUAAAACUAUUUUUCUUGAGUGCA
rnacentral:rRNA from 1 species